UACGGAGGGUGCGAGCGUUAAUCGGAAUUACUGGGCGUAAAGGGCGCGCAGGCGGUCUGGUAAGUUUGGAGUGACAGUGCUCGGCUUAACUGAGCAAGGCCUUCGAAAACUGCUAGACUUGAGCACUCAAGAGGGACAUAGAAUUCCGGGUGGAGUGGUGAAAUGCGUAGAUAUCCGGAGGAAUACCAAAGGCGAAGGCAGUGUCCUGGGGAGUGUCUGACGCUCAGGCGCGAAAGCUAGGGGAGCGAACAGG
rnacentral:rRNA from 1 species